AAUGGAAGUCGGCAAAUUGGAUCCGUAACUUCGAAAUAAGGAUUGGCUCUGAGGAGCGGGGCGUGUCGGGCUUGGUCGGGAAGCGGGUCUUGCUGACGUGUCAGGUCUGGGCGAGGUGAACAUUCCGGUGUUCUCGCGCCGGUUCCGAGCUCAGUUCUAUGCUUGGUCCCGCGGAUCUUCCUUGCUGCGAGGCUUCCGUGGCGGCGCGAGCCGUCGUGGUCAUCCUCUUCGGCCGCCAUUCAACGCUCAGCUCAGAACUGGCACAGGCAAGGGGAAUCCGAAUGUCUAAUUAAAACAAAGCAUUACGAUGGCUCUCGCGAGUAUUGACGCAAUAUGAUUUCUGCCCAGUGCUCUGAAUGUCAAUGUGAAAAAAUUCAAGCAAGCGCGGAUAAACGACGGGAGUAACUAUGACUUUCUUAAGGGAGUAACUAUGACUUCCUUAAGGCUGUAACUAUGGAUAUUAAUUCCUAUUAUUAAU
rnacentral:ncRNA from 1 species